UGAGGAAUAUUGCACAAUGGGCGAAAGCCUGAUGCAGCAACGCCGCGUGAGGGACGAAGGCCCUCGGGUCGUAAACCUCUUUUCUGGGGGACGAGCAAGGACGGUACCUCAGGAAUAAGUCUCGGCUAACUACGUGCCAGCAGCCGCGGUAACACGUAGGAGGCGAGCGUUAUCCGGAUUUACUGGGCGUAAAGCGCGCGCAGGCGGCUUCGUUAGUCGGACGUGAAAGCUCCUGGCUUAACUGGGAGAGGCCGUUCGAUACUGCGAGGCUUGAGGUUGGGAGAGGGGUGUGGAAUUCCCGGUGUAGUGGUGGAAUGCGUAGAUAUCGGGAGGAACACCUGUGGCGAAAGCGGCACCCUGGCCCACACCUGACGCUGAGGUGCGAAAGCGUGGGGAGCAAACA
rnacentral:rRNA from 1 species